rnacentral:rRNA from 1 species
UGGGGAAUUUUGGACAAUGGGGGAAACCCUGAUCCAGCCAUCCCGCGUGUGCGAUGAAGGCCUUCGGGUUGUAAAGCACUUUUGGCAGGAAAGAAACGUCAUGGGUUAAUACCCCGUGAAACUGACGGUACCUGCAGAAUAAGCACCGGCUAAUUACGUGCCAGCAGCCGCGGUAAUACGUAGGGUGCAAGCGUUAAUCGGAAUUACUGGGCGUAAAGCGUGCGCAGGCGGUUCGGUAAGAAAGAUGUGAAAUCCCAGAGCUCAACUUUGGAACUGCAUUUUUAACUACCGGGCUAGAGUGUGUCAGAGGGAGGUGGAAUUCCGCGUGUAGCAGUGAAAUGCGUAGAUAUGCGGAGGAACACCGAUGGCGAAGGCAGCCUCCUGGGAUAACACUGACGCUCAUGCACGAAAGCGUGGGGAGCAAACAGG